AUUGAACGCUGGCGGCAGGCCUAACACAUGCAAGUCGAGCGGAGCGGCGAACGGGUGAGUAAGGCCUAGGAAUCUGCCUGGUAGUGGGGGAUAACGUCCGGAAACGGGCGCUAAUACCGCAUACUAUCCGAUGAGCCUAGGUCGGAUUGGCUUGUUGGGGGGGUAACGGCCCACCAAGGCGACGGUCCCUAGCUGGGCUGAGAGGAUGACCAGCCACACUGGAACGGAGACCCGGUCCAGACUCCUACGUGAGGCAGCAGUGGGGAAUAUUGCACAAUGGGCGCAAGCCUGAUGCAGCCAUGCCGCGUGUAUGAAGAAGGCCUUCGGGUUGUAAAGUACUUUCAGCGGGGAGGCGUUACCCGCAGAAGAAGCACCGGCUAACUCCGUGCCAGCCGCCGCGGUAAUAC
rnacentral:rRNA from 1 species